AUUGAACGCUGGCGGCAGGCCUAACACAUGCAAGUCGAGCGGAUGAAGGGAGCUUGCUCCUGGAUUCAGCGGCGGACGGGUGAGUAAUGCCUAGGAAUCUGCCUGGUAGUGGGGGAUAACGUCCGGAAACGGGCGCUAAUACCGCAUACGUCCUGAGGGAGAAAGUGGGGGAUCUUCGGACCUCACGCUAUCAGAUGAGCCUAGGUCGGAUUAGCUAGUUGGUGGGGUAAAGGCCUACCAAGGCGACGAUCCGUAACUGGUCUGAGAGGAUGACCAGUCACAAUGGAACUGAGACACGGUCCAGACUCCUACGGGAGGCAGCAGUGGGGAAUAUUGGACAAUGGGCGAAAGCCUGAUCCAGCCAUGCCGCGUGUGUGAAGAAGGUCUUCGGAUUGUAAAGCACUUUAAGUUGGGAGGAAGGGCAGUAAGUUAAUACCUUGCUGUUUUGACGUUACCAACAGAAUAAGCACCGGCUAACUUCGUG
rnacentral:rRNA from 1 species